ACUAGGGUGGCAGAGCAUGGUAAUUGCAAAAGACCUAAGCUCUUUCCCCCAGAGGUUCAACUCCUCUCCCCAGUU
rnacentral:tRNA from 1 species